CAUAUGUUGUCAUGUCUGCAGGCAUUCAAUACACUAUUUAUACUGGUUGUAAGUGUAUUGACUAUAACGACACUGUUAAUAUCACUGCGCAGUUGACCAUUGAAACAUUAAAGAUCAACUAUGAUUAAGUCCCUUGGGGUUUGUAUGUACAUGAUGUUGAUUGUUUCAACUUUAGCGUCAAAUGACUGUUACAGAGACGGUAACUGGUAUGGGGAUGGUGAAGACAUAGGUUUCCAUGACGACUGUUAUGGAUGUAAAUGCAGUGACGGUCUUAUUUUAUGUAUCGACCAAAAUUUGACGUGCGAAAGACCUUCAUGUGGUGAGCGAGCUGUGUCUAUACCAGGUCAAUGUUGUCCAGUGUGCUUGUAGGACAUUCAUAGCAAUACCGGGUGAGCGAGCUGCGUCUAUACCAGGUCAAUGUUGUCCAGUGUGCUUGUAGGACAUUCAUAUCAAUACAUAUAGUUUCACCACUGCGACGAUACAUAUGAUUUUGUUUGUAUUCUAUAUGCCCUCCUGGGGCCCUUAUUUGGUAAAUAAAAAUAUUCUAUUCUU